rnacentral:rRNA from 1 species
CCCUUAGAUGUCCUGGGCCGCACGCGCGCUACACUGAUGCAUUCAACGAGUUCUACCUUGGCCGAGAGGCCUGGGCAAUCUUUUGAACCUGCAUCGUGAUAGGGAUAGAUUAUUGCAAUUAUUAAUCUUGAACGAGGAAUUCCUAGUAAACGCAGAUCAUCAAUCUGCAUUGAUUACGUCCCUGCCCUUUGUACACACCACCCGUCGCACCUACCGAUUGAAUGGUCCGGUGAAGCCUCGGGAUUGUGGCGAGUUCCCUUUAUUGGGAGUUUGUCGCGAGAACUUGUCUAAACCUUAUCAUUUAGAGGAAGGUGAAGUCGUAACA